UGGGGAAUAUUGCACAAUGGGGGGAACCCUGAUGCAGCCAUGCCGCGUGUAUGAAGAAGGCCUUAGGGUUGUAAAGUACUUUCGUGGAGGAGGAAGGGUUUACGUUUAAUAGGCGUGGACACUGACGUUACUCCAAGAAGAAGCACCGGCUAACUCCGUGCCAGCAGCCGCGGUAAUACGGAGGGUGCGAGCGUUAAUCGGAAUGACUGGGCGUAAAGGGCAUGUAGGCGGAUGGUUAAGUUAGAUGUGAAAUCCCUGGGCUUAACCUAGGAAUUGCAUUUAAAACUGGUUAUCUAGAGUAUUGUAGAGGAAGGUAGAAUUCCAUGUGUAGCGGUGAAAUGCGUAGAGAUGUGGAGGAAUACCGGUGGCGAAGGCGGCCUUCUGGACAGAUACUGACGCUGAGAUGCGAAAGCGUGGGGAGCAAACAGGAUUAGAUACCCUGGUAGUCCACGCUGUAAACGAUGUCGAUUUGGAGUUUGUUGCCUAGAGUGAUGGGCUCCGAAGCUAACGCGAUAAAUCGACCGCCUGGGGAGUACGGCCGCAAGGUUAAAACUCAAAUGAAUUGACGGGGGCCCGCACAAGCGGUGGAGCAUGUGGUUUAAUUCGAUGC
rnacentral:rRNA from 1 species